UCGAGCGCGCCCUUUCGGGGUGAGCGGCGGACGGGUUGAGUAACGCGUGGGAAUAUGCCCUUCUCUAAGGAAUAGCCUCUGGAAACGGAGAGUAAUACCUUAUACGCCCUUUUGGGGAAAGAUUUAUCGGAGAAGGAUUAGCCCGCGUUAGAUUAGGUAGUUGGUGGGGUAAUGGCCUACCAAGUCUACGAUCUAUAGCUGGUUUGAGAGGAUGAUCAGCAACACUGGGACUGAGACACGGCCCAGACUCCUACGGGAGGCAGCAGUAGGGAAUCUUAGACAAUGGGGGCAACCCUGAUCUAGCCAUGCCGCGUGUGUGAUGAAGGCCCUAGGGUCGUAAAGCACUUUCGCCAGAGAUGAUAAUGACAGUAUCUGGUAAAGAAACCCCGGCUAACUCCGUGCCAGCAGCCGCGGUAAUACGGAGGGGGUUAGCGUUGUUCGGAAUUACUGGGCGUAAAGCGCGCGUAGGCGGAUUGGAAAGUUGGGGGUGAAAUCCCGGGGCUCAACCCCGGAACUGCCUCCAAAACUGCCAGUCUAGAGUUCGAGAGAGGUGAGUGGAACUCCAAGUGUAGAGGUGAAAUUCGUAGAUAUUUGGAAGAACACCAGUGGCGAAGGCGGCUCACUGGCUCGAUACUGACGCUGAGGUGCGAAAGUGUGGGGAGCAAACAGGAUUAGAU
rnacentral:rRNA from 1 species